rnacentral:misc_RNA from 1 species
GGAAUAUCAACAAUGCAUUGCUAUUAGCCUCAACAGUUGUCCUUGCUAUUUCAGCAGCUGUGAGUUCAGUAUCACGAACUCGUCUCUGGUCUCGCAUUCCUUCAAGAGGGUGAUAGCCACUGUUGCCGACAUAGUUAGGGGAAUCAGGAACAGAAUCUGGGUAAUCUGCUGCAACUGAAAUUCUUGAAAGGCUACUCUCGUGUCCUACAGCAAGCCAAUGCGAUUGUGCAGCUCCAAAGAAAGGGUUCUCAGUCCUGAAACUUAUACCUGAAUGGUCAGAGAAUCUCUGAACCUCGUAUGAUGGCUUGAUCCAACUGCUUGCAGCUCCUAAUGAUGCUGAGCAACUACCUCCAUCAGCAUGACAUAUAAAACAUUGCGAGGGACCGAUGGAGAUUGAUGAUGAAGGCGCGGAGAUGAACAUCAAGAA